rnacentral:misc_RNA from 1 species
GAUGAAGAACGUAGCGAAAUGCGAUAAGUAAUGUGAAUUGCAGAAUUCAGUGAAUCAUCGAAUCUUUGAACGCACAUUGCGCCCGCCAGUAUUCUGGCGGGCAUGCCUGUUCGAGCGCCAUUACAACCCUCAGGCCCCCGGGCCUGGCGUUGGGGAUCGGCGGAAGCCCCCUGUGGGCACACGCCGUCCCUCAAAUACAGUGGCGGUCCCGCCGCAGCUUCCAUUGCGUAGUAGCUAACACCUCGCAACUGGAGAGCGGCGCGGCCAUGCCGUAAAACACCCAACUUCUGAAUGUUGACCUCGAAUCAGGUAGGAAUACCCGCUGAACUUAAGCAUAUCAAUAAGCGGAGGA